AUUGAACGCUGGCGGCAGGCUUAACACAUGCAAGUCGAGCGGUAGCACAGAGAGCUUGCUCUCGGGUGACGAGUGGCGGACGGGUGAGUAACGUCUGGGAAACUGCCCGAUGGAGGGGGAUAACUACUGGAAACGGUAGCUAAUACCGCAUAACGUCGCAAGACCAAAGUGGGGGACCUUCGGGCCUCACACCAUCGGAUGUGCCCAGAUGGGAUUAGCUAGUAGGUGGGGUAAUGGCUCACCUAGGCGACGAUCCCUAGCUGGUCUGAGAGGAUGACCAGCCACACUGGAACUGAGACACGGUCCAGACUCCUACGGGAGGCAGCAGUGGGGAAUAUUGCACAAUGGGCGCAAGCCUGAUGCAGCCAUGCCGCGCGUAUGAAGAAGGCCUUCGGGUUGUAAAGUACUUUCAGCGGGGAGGAAGGCGGUGAAGUUAAUAGCUUCACCGAUUGACGUUACCCGCAGAAGAAGCACCGGCUAACUCCGUGCCAGCCGCCGCGGUAA
rnacentral:rRNA from 1 species